AUUGAACGCUGGCGGCAGGCCUAACACAUGCAUGUCGAACGGUAGCACAGAGAGCUUGCUCUCGGGUGACGAGUGGCGGACGGGUGAGUAACGUCUGGGAAACUGCCCGAUGGAGGGGGAUAACUACUGGAAACGGUAGCUAAUACCGCAUAACGUCGCAAGACCAAAGUGGGGGACCUUCGGGCCUCACACCAUCGGAUGUGCCCAGAUGGGAUUAGCUAGUAGGUGGGGUAAUGGCUCACCUAGGCGACGAUCCCUAGCUGGUCUGAGAGGAUGACCAGCCACACUGGAACUGAGACACGGUCCAGACUCCUACGGGAGGCAGCAGUGGGGAAUAUUGCACAAUGGGCGCAAGCCUGACGCAGCCAUGCCGCGUGUAUGAAGAAGGCCUUCGGGUUGUAAAGUACUUUCAGCGGGGAGGAAGGCGGUGAAGUUAAUAACUUCACCGAUUGACGUUACCCGCAGAAGAAGCACCGGCUAACUCCGUGCCAGCCGCCGCGGUAA
rnacentral:rRNA from 1 species